rnacentral:misc_RNA from 1 species
UGCCAAUGUAUGCGGAUAGGAUACAGAGUGAUAGCAAAGCUCAUGUACGACGCAGAUGAAUGAAUUGAUGCUUAGCUGUGUUCAUCUAAUAUCAUUAGAAGGGUAUGUACAAGCAGCCUUAGUUCCUAGGCAUGUUUUGUGUGCUAUACUGGGUUUGUUAUAUGGAUUCAGUUAGCACACUGUAAACUUAGUGGUCCAUGACUCGGGCCUUAUGUUUUUUCUUCGUUAACGAUGAGGUUGUCUUGUAUAUUAUAGUUGUUUUAGUUCACUUUUUUUUUACCUGGUUACUGUUAUGUUGUCUAAGGUAGGUUUUAAACUUUCAAGCUCUAUGCGAUCUAUUCCCUUG